GAUAAACCUUAAGUCAGGAGUCCAAAAGAAGUUGUAUAGAUAGGAUUUUUGAAAUUUUAUUUAUGUUAUAACUUGUAAUUUUCUUUUUUUUGAUGUAAUGACAGACCCGCGGACUGGAACCUUAAAAGGGCGUCACUCGACUCUCCAACUCAGUAUAUUCUCUCUCCAUCCAACCCUUUGAGAUACAUGUGACUUGAUUUCUUCAUAACUUGGGUAAGUAGGAUAUCCUAAGUCAAGACUUGGUUGCCCUUCUUCCUUCUAUUUCUUUCAUUGAAUAAUGAUUUUGUCAAAAUUUGAUCUCGUUGUCUACUUUUUUGUCUGAAAACACUUUGUAUUUACACCCAAAAAGGGGCAUGAUGUAGAUAACUAAUUUUGUCCUUCCCAAAACCCAAUUCAUCUAUUUUUACCUUACGUUACAUACACCCUCACCAAUGUGAUUACACCCCACAAAAUUACAAAAAAAAUUAAUAACCCUUAACAAAUCUCUAAUAAAUUUUAUCUUAUUUUAAUCAUCCCAACAACAUACCCUUAUCUCAUCCACUACCCCACACCCUACCCAUGUGACCCCCUACCUACUCUUUUAAUCACGUGCCUCACAUAUACAUACACCAACACAAUACACAAAAUAGGGGCCCUACGGGAAUCACUAUUCUACACUCACCUUCCAUAUAUACUCAAUCACACUACACAGCAAAGGGAGAGAGAACACACUCAGAAAAAAGGCCCGGCCCACAGGAAAUAUUUGGGACAACUUCUAUUUCCAAAUUGAGAACAAAAUAGAUAGAUACUCUCCAAUUUUUUUUAUAUAGAUCACAUACACACUCUACACACAGAGGGCUCCCCAUAUUUCUCCAUUAAAGCACAAGAUUCUCACACCUUCUCUAAUGGAAUUCCACUUACACACACACCAUCAACACACACACAUCACGGAAAGACACACAACAACACACCAAGCUAAAAAAUUGAGAAAAUCAGUAAAGAAUAAAGAGAGAGGGGCGAUCAAAAAACAGAGCACCAAUAAGGGAUGAGAAUAUAAAAAUAGAGGGUUAGUCGUGUUUAGACGAACAGAGGGAGGAAAAAGAGAGAAACAGAGAAAACAUGCAAACUAGAUUUUUCUGGUGAGUCUUUGCCAGAAAACUUCACUGCUGCCAAUUUCUUCAUUUGAUUUUUUUUGUUGUUGAGGUUUUUGGAGCUCCGGCAAAGUAAAUAGCAGUAACCCGUCCCUGAGUCAUUUCAAAAUCCAUCAAAAACGUCAGUAAACGACCCUAAAAACAUCUACAGAUCUCAUUUUUGAUCAUUUGCUAUCUGAUUUAUUUGUUUCAGUCGGGUGUAUCGAGUUGGAUCAAUUUGGUUAUUCCAGAUUCUUGGAUUUGUUUUGGGUUGGAUUUGAGUUUGAUCAUCGAGGUUCCCAAUGCGGAAUCUGUUUAAUUGAAUAACAUACUUUGAAAGCCCCAAUUUCAGGGUUUGAGGCUCAGUCCAGGGGUCCCGCCAAAUCGUAGAAUCUUUAGACUGAAGUGUGCAGUUGGUGAGCCUUCUUUAUUUCGAAAGGCCUGUUGCUAAAGUAUUGUUUUGUAUUUUAGUUUUGGGUCCGACUGGGGGCCUUAUCCCAGUUAUAUACAAGGUAUUAUAUUCUGAUGUAUAAGAGAUUUUGUAGAUUGAGAUGGAUAUUGUCUAGAUGUUUAUUGAUUUCAUUCUGUAUUGUAAAAUUGAACUUAGAGUAUGACCAUGAUUCCGUCUGUUUA